UACAGGGGGGGCAAGCGUUGUUCGGAAUUACUGGGCGUAAAGGGCUCGUAGGCGGCCAACUAAGUCAUACGUGAAAUCCCUCGGCUUAACCGGGGAACUGCGUCUGAUACUGGAUGGCUUGAGAUUGGGAGAGGGAUGCGGAAUUCCAGGUGUAGCGGUGAAAUGCGUAGAUAUCUGGAGGAACACCGGUGGCGAAGGCGGCAUCCUGGACCAACACUGACGCUGAGGAGCGAAAGCUAGGGGAGCAAACGGG
rnacentral:rRNA from 1 species